rnacentral:misc_RNA from 1 species
AACAUCGCGCACCUGCGGGAACCUGCGGAAGGAUCAUUACAGAGUUGCAAAACUCCCUAAACCAUUGUGAACGUUACCUAAACCGUUGCUUCGGCGGGCGGCCCGGGUCCUUCCCGGCGCCCCUCGGCCCUCGCGGGCGCCCGCCGGAGGUAAACCAAACUAUUGCAUUGUAUGGCCUCUCUGAGUCUUCUGUACUGAAUAAGUCAAAACUUUCAGCAACGGAUCUCAGAUCGGAAGAGC